UUGUUAGUUGCCAUCAUUUAGUUGGGCACUCUAGCGAGACUGCCGGUGACAAACCGGAGGAAGGUGGGGAUGACGUCAAAUCAUCAUGCCCCUUAUGACCUGGGCUACACACGUGCUACAAUGGGAAGUACAACGAGUUGCGAAGUCGCGAGGCUAAGCUAAUCUCUUAAAGCUUCUCUCAGUUCGGAUUGUAGGCUGCAACUCGCCUACAUGAAGCCGGAAUCGCUAGUAAUCGCGGAUCAGCACGCCGCGGUGAAUACGUUCCCGGGCCUUGUACACACCGCCCGUCACACCACGAGAGUUUGUAACACCCGAAGUCGGUGAGGUAACCUUUUUGGAGCCAGCCGCCUAAGGUGGGAUAGAUGAUUGGGGUGAAGUCGUAACAAGGUAGCCGUAUCGGAAGGUGCGGCUGGAUCACCUCCUUUCUAAGGAA
rnacentral:rRNA from 1 species